UUGUAACCUGUGCCUGGUGGGGCUUUUGCUUUUUCACCAAGGAGCAGCAGCGGGUGCAGGGCAUGUGUGCACGUGUGUUUGUAGACACCCCUCCCACGCAGCCCAGGACUGUGAUGCUGCACAGCCUGCAGGCACAAGAGGCAGUCAGUCACAAGUCUCUUGAAGAGUGUCUCUGGUGGCUACUGGUGUUAAAUGUACACCUGUCAAUGGUGAUUGCAUUUGUGAGCUCCUGGAUCUGUGACUGAGCUCCAGGUUCCAUUUUCCUCAUACAAUAACCUUUUGGAGAUUUUAACCCAAAGCUUCUUCAGUGGCAAAACAGUCUUUCAUCAUGCAAAAAGAGGAUGAAAUAUCCCAGAACACUCAGCAAAGAAAAUGUAUGCAGAAUGUUUCAUAAAGCCCUGAAUAAAGCUGGCUUCUUCUUCGUC